GACGAACGCUGGCGGCGUGCUUAACACAUGCAAGUCGAACGGGAUUUAGUAGACAGAAGCCUCGGCUAAAGAUUACUAAUGAGAGUGGCGAACGGGUGAGUAACGCGUGAGCAACCUGCCUAUGACAGUGGGAUAGCCUCGGGAAACCGGGAUUAAUACCGCAUAAAAUCGUAGAAACACAUGUUUCAACGGUCAAAGAUUUAUCGGUCAUAGAUGGGCUCGCGUCUGAUUAGCUAGUUGGUGAGAUAACAGCCCACCAAGGCGACGAUCAGUAGCCGGUCUGAGAGGAUGAACGGCCACAUUGGAACUGAGACACGGUCCAAACUCCUACGGGAGGCAGCAGUGGGGAAUAUUGCACAAUGGGGGAAACCCUGAUGCAGCGACGCCGCGUGAACGAAGAAGGUAUUCGUAUCGUAAAGUUCUGUCCUAUGGGAAGAUAAUGACAGUACCAUAGAAGAAAGCUCCGGCUAAAUACGUG
rnacentral:rRNA from 1 species